rnacentral:rRNA from 1 species
CCUACGGGUGGCAGCAGUGAGGAAUAUUGGUCAAUGGACGCAAGUCUGAACCAGCCAUGCCGCGUGCAGGCAGACGGCUCUAUGAGUUGUACACUGCUUUUGUACGAGGAUAAACGCAGAUACGCGUAUCUUUCUGAAAGUAUCUUACGAAUAAGGAUCGUCUAACUCCGUUCCAGCAGCAGCGGUACUACGGAGGAUUCAAGCCUUAUCUGGAUUUAUUGGGUUUAAAGGGUGCGUAGGCGGUCGGCUAAGUUAGAGGUGAAAUCCCGAGGCUCAACUUCGGAAUUGCCUUUGAUACUGGCGGGCUAGAGUUUAGUUGCGGUAGGCGGAAUGUAUGGUGUAGCGGUGAAAUGCAUAGAGAUCAUACAGAACACCGAUUGCGAAGGCAGCUUACCAAACUACGACUGACGUUGAGGCACGAAAGCGUGGGGAGCAAACAGGAUUAGAUACCCUAGUAGUC